rnacentral:rRNA from 1 species
GAUGAACGCUGACAGAAUGCUUAACACAUGCAAGUCAACUUGAAUUUGGGUUUUUAACUUAGGUUUGGGUGGCGGACGGGUGAGUAACGCGUAAAGAACUUGCCUCACAGCUAGGGACAACAUUUGGAAACGAAUGCUAAUACCUAAUAUUAUGAUAAUAGGGCAUCCUAUAAUUAUGAAAGCUAUAAGCGCUGUGAGAGAGCUUUGCGUCCCUUUAGCUAGUUGGAGAGGUAACGGCUCACCAAGGCGAUGAUGGGUAGCCGGCCUGAGAGGGUGAUCGGCCACAAGGGGACUGAGACACGGCCCUUACUCCUACGGGAGGCAGCAGUGGGGAAUAUUGGACAAUGGACCGAGAGUCUGAUCCAGCAAUUCUGUGUGCACGAUGAAGUUUUUCGGAAUGUAAAGUGCUUUCAGUUGGGAAGAAACAAAUGACGGUACCAACAGAAGAAGUGACGGCUAAAUACGUG